rnacentral:misc_RNA from 1 species
AGGGCAAACUGUUGAUAAGACAGACGUGCGGUCGCUCUAUACCCCUAUUGUCAGGAGGCAGCGUUUAUCACGCUUAAUAUUUACACAAUGAUUAGGGUUUUUGAAAGGCGGAGUUUUCCCACAGUACUACGGGUUCGCAGUGUAAUUAUCGUGGCACGUGCCCCUAUUUUGAUUUCAGACGAUAAACAAAUUGAUUGACAUUCCGACACAGCCAUAUUGAAUGCAACGGAAUUUUUUGACCAAUGGAACGCGACGUACUUUUUAAGCCACGGUCGCAUUGGGAAAUGGGCGCACGUCGAUUGGUUGCUUGUGAAGGAAUCUAACCGUGGGAAAGAGAUACGAAAUGGCUUCACACCGGCGACUGUACACAUGUCACGAAGUAUAAAUGCUACAAUCACACCACUGGCCAGCUACUUGUUGAAUUUUGUCACCAAAACGAUCGGAUGUGCAAUACAUACCAAAGUAAUACACAAAGUAAUAAUAUGGAGGAUUACGAACAAGAAAAUCGAAACUUUCCAGAGGAUAAAAUCCUUUCCAGAAAGAGUAAAAAGCCAUUGAUGGAGAAGAGAAGAAGAGCCCGAAUUAAUAACUGUCUUGUUCAACUGAAAAGCCUUGUUCUACAAGCCAUGAAAAAAGAUACGACACAUUAUUCCAAGCUGGAGAAGGCAGACAUUCUAGAGAUGACUGUCAAAUAUCUGCGCAGUCUACAGAGACGACAGAUGACGUCAGCCGUCGCCGCUGACCCCACGGUCGCCGCCAAAUACUCCAUGGGCUUCACUGAAUGUGCCUCCGAAGUGGCCAGAUAUCUUGGAAAUUCUCAGGGAAUAAACGACGAAGUUCGUGGGCGACUCUUAGGUCAUCUGUCCAACUGUGUCCAGACAGGGAAUUCCUUCACCGCAAGUGGGAGGCGGGCAGACCUACGGACAACCAUUGCACGUUCAGAUUCCACGAGUCCAGAGCGACCUGUCACGUGUUCACUCAGAAGGACUCCUGUCCCAGCCACCGGCGGGGUUCUUAUCAAACUCUACAUCUUCAUCCGGGUUACAGGUGACCGGGUCCUUCCAGAUAGUUCCCGACAACCUCUACAGUGAACAUUUACCGGUGUUUUUCCGACAAUCACAGGCCAUGCUGGACUCUGUCUCUAACAGGAACUCGUCCCUCCCCAAACCCUCGCCUUACUCCCCACCCACCUGUGAUAUGUCACGUGACAUUUUCCAGUCCACCAGGAAGGGACUGGUUCCCAGCCCGCCCGUGGCUUCAGCAGCCAUGACCUUGAAAGAAGAGCGCUUGUGGCGACCUUGGUGAUUUUUUUACAUGAAAUUCUAGAGGACAAUGAAUCUCAGGAAACGCGUGCUUUUGUUAGAAUGUUUGGAGUGCUUGACAGUUUUAGCUGUACUGAUUUAGAUAUUUUUACACUGACACCAAAGUGCUAUUUCAAGAAUCUUUACCCUGUUGAAUCGGUGCUGUUGUAGAGUAUAUUGAUAUUAAAACUCUUUAAAGACGU